AAUCCCCAGUACCUCCAAAAAAAUAAAUAAAUAAAAACCUAAUUACUCCUCCUAAAAAUAAAUAAAAAUUUAAAAAUAUCUUUUACUGAUUUUGGCAAGUAGUCAGUUCCAAGUUUCUGGUCCAUCAUGAAAUUUUCAGAUACAUAUUACUCAGUUUGUAAAUCAUUGCCAGAUUCUGUUUUGCUCAUUCCCUUGGGACUGGUCAUACAUGUAACAAUGCUCAGUAUUUGAAUUUUCUUAGGUAAAGCAAUGCAUGUUGUUUUUCUGUCUUGAAAUUUUAUCAGUCUUAUGCAAUGCAUUUUUGCCCACAUAGUUGAUGACUCUGAAAGGAAGAGAGAAUUUGAUCACUGGAUUUUCUGAAAUGUCAGUGUGGAUUCUACCAGUAGUGUUGCCAGGAGGCGGAAAAUCGUAUUAGCUGCAAUUAAGACAAACUACUCAAGGUAAAAGUAAAACCUUGUAAGAAAAAGAAAAUAUAGUGUAUUGCAGAGGCCUUGGCUAGGUUUAUGAUGACACAGGACCUUGUCUGAACAUGCUGAUUUCAAAGUUGGAGCUUGAAAUGACACUGAAAUCCAGUCAAUGUGCCUCACUAGACUUUGCAGAGAACAUUCUUGACUGAAAAUGUUGGCUUGACCUGUGAAAACUGAGUAGUUACAAAUGGCAGGUGUAGUAGUACACUUUGCCAGUUCCUCCAGUUUUCUUUGUUUUUUUCCAUAGAUCGUGUGAGCUAAUUCUUCUUUCUUUCUGUUUUACUCUUUCUCUCUAUAUAAAUAUGUGUGUGUGUGUGUGUGUGUGCACUCACACACACACUGUUCAACCCCACAACGGAAGCUCUGGCUUGGAUCUCAGAAGGCACACACAUGGUGAGAUGGAAACAAGGACGUGUGUGAAGGGGACUGCCACAUCUUGGAUCAAACGUUGAGUGACACAGUUGUAGGUGUCUGAGUGAUGUCCAGAAAGAAUGGGAACGUACUUUAUGAAGCACAGUGAGUGUGCUUCAGAGUCUCGAAUUCAUCUGUCUACCAGAGCAGUCUUUGGGAAAGAUGACCAACCAGCAUCACGUUCUCCAUAAAUCUACAGUUGACGUGUUUUUAACGUGUUAGAAAUAAGCAAUAAUCAGAGAAGAGGACAAAGAUGAUACAAACUGUUGAUACUCAGAGCAUCUUUUGCUGCUGUCAGAAUUGGAAAUUUAGUCACUGCACUUGUGGAUUCAUAAAUUUCAGACAUUUCUUUACCCUUUUGAUCUGUAAGAAUCUCAAGAAAUUUGCACAGCAAGAUACAAUGUGACACAAUGCAGGACAAUUUAGGGUAGUUUUGCAAACCUUUUUUUCUAUUAACAUAGAUACACAGAUUUUUCUGGAAUAUCCUGAGCAGUUUUGCUCAUGGACUGCCAUGGAAGUGUCCACUUCAUGCCAGUUUAAUGGGUCUUUGGCCAAGGCUCUCAUGUAGAGACAAUCUUUAGAUCUUUUACUCAGAAUUCAUUCACACCUGGUCCAACAGCAUCUCAUUCCAGAUUUCUCCCCCAAAUGGAAGUGUGCGAAGGGUAUCUAAUGAAUUGAAAAAUUACUUCAGCUGGAUAAAGCUUGAAGUAUUGGGCUAGUGUGGACGAGUUCAAGUAAACAUGAGCCCAACCGUACAGGAAUGUGUGGAUAGAAAGGGAAGGAAAACACAUCUUGAAUUCAGCUAGAAGCUUCAUCAGCUACAGAAUUACAAACAAAAUACAGAUUUAUACUGGCCUAAACUUCUUGGCUUUCAAAUGUUUACAUUUCAUUGGCAAUCUUUGAAUUUUGGAGGAAAAACAUAAUUUCUUUGCUGUGGAAUAUCAACUGGUCUUCAAAAGAUUUACCAGUAAAAGCCCUAUAUGUAUGGUAUUUGUAUGCAUAUGUGAUAAAACAGAUUUUAUCCUCCCUUGAACAUUUUAAAACAACUCAGAAUCUAAUCCUAUUAACUAAUUUACUGGACAUAUGUAGCUUACACAUUUAUUUAAAUACAUAGGAAAAUUGUGUUUGGGUAGUGGUACUGAAAUGUAAAUGUAAAAUACUCAGUGAAUGAUAAAUAUGCGUGAACUAUUCAUUGGAUGUUAGGCGAUGAAGAGAAUGAAAUUCAACAUGUAAUAGUUUUAUUGUUUUGUAUUCUUUGCUUAAUGUUUUGGAAUCUACCACUCAAGUAAAGAAGCCUAGGUUUAUUUUUUAAAAAAUACUAUUUUUAGAUACUGUUAAAGAUGAGUGUUGUGAUAAUAGAGCUGAUUUCCUAAAGAAGUUUCUAAAAGUAUGUUUGGGAAAGUUGUCUUCUGGGAAAGACUUAGAAAGGAAUUCUGAGGACAGAGGAGACAUUUUGUAAGCUUUACACAAUUCGGUAUUGUCUACAAAUAGCAGAAAAGAGAUGGACACAGAAUGUUUAAAACAUCGAUAAGAAAGGCAAAGAAGGCACUGUUACUGUUUAAAUGCAUUUUGAGAAUACUGUAUGAAAUAACCAAAUAUAAUUGCUUUGUGACAUUAAUGUGUUGGCAAAUGUUAACAAAUCGUUUGCUAAAAUAUGUAGAAGAGUUAUUUUUAAUACAUGGUUAUAGAAAACAAUUGAGAAUACCUCUGAAAAUGAUGUACAUUUGAAAUCAUUUGAUUGGAUUAUUGCUGUGGUCUUUUUGAAGGGAGGAGAUUGUUCUGUAUACAACUGUCAUAAGAAAUUUUAAUUUAGGCUGCUCCAGGUAGAUGUAGGUCUUAUCCUGUAAAUGUUUCUUAAUGUUAAAAUUUGUAUAGUACAAGAUUGCCUUAUCAUGAUGGGAUUUUUGCACAAGAGACCGACCUCUGAACACUUGCAUGUUCAGGGUUGAAUGGGCUUUUUUUUUAAUUGCUUUGUAUAUAAUAGAAAAACUACUGUGUUACACCAUCCUAUCAAGCAUAGAGAUGACUGACAUUUUGGGCAUUUCAGUUUUCAAUUAUUAGAAUAUAAUGUUGGUCACUGAGGAGUUUCUGGACCUCUUCGUAUUAGGCAAAUAAAAGCUGAAUUUAGAAGAUAGAGAAUAGGGAGUUUUGGAGGGUUGUGUGUGUCUAUGCAUAUGCAGAGACAGUUUUUGAACAUCCUCCAGGCUUUACUCCACGCUCAGAUGUUUGGAAUCUACAUAUGUUUUACACAUAUUCUAGUGUUAAACAGAGGUAGACAUUCUUUUCUUUUUCCAGUGGAACUGUUAAGUUACCUCUCAAUAUUAACUCAUUUCUGGUGGAAAUUUUUAUACAUUCUACUUUCUGUUUAACCUCUAAUUUUCUGCAUGUAUAAACAUCCUUGUAAGUACAUGCCAACCUAGUAGGAUAGUGAUAUUUUUGUUUGCCAAAGAUGUUCCAUCUGGCCUUUCAGCGUGUUAAUUGGAUCAUUAGCCUCAAUUUUUAGGUUUUGAGAAAUGUAUUGUGUAGUAUCUAAGAUAAAUAUAUCGUCAUUUUGUGACAGAAUUCAUCAUGGUGGAAACACCACUGGGCUGCCUUUGUUUAUGGUUUUCACAUGAAUUUAUGCAAAUAGAAUGCAGCUCUUUGGGUAACUUAGAGAAAUCUCUACACGCGGUAAAAUAGCAUAUGUGAGAAAAGUUUUCAUUUGCCAGUGGAAUUUAGCUUUUAAUGAAACUGAUGAAUUGUUUUAAAAUACUUUUUUCUAGUUGACAUAGGCAAUUAAUACAUUUUUAUGGGGGGGUGUUAGCAGUGGUAUAUCAGCCCCGAGUUCUUUAAAUAGUGGCUGAUCAAAGAAAUGUUUUUGUAUUAUGUGUAUAUAAUAGAUACUAUUUUUUAAAGCAUAGGAACUAUUUGUGUGUCUUUUGUACAAACCUAUACAUAGAGUGAAAAAUUUCCCUAAUGAUUGUCAGAUUAUCUGUGAGUAAACAAUUGGGCAGCUGAAGGGGUGUUUUGUUAGAUCAUUGUGUAUAAUAACAUAGAAUACAUAAUAGUUUUUGCUUUAGUCUUUUAGUCUUUGGUUUAUAUGGAUUUCUUAUGUAUGUGUAUACAUACAUGCACAUGUGUGUAUAAAACUAGUGUUCAUUAAAAGUCAGAGUAGGUAUAUUUUUUGGCUCAGUUAUCACUUGGCUUUAGUCUGUGUUCUUUGGGUUGUGUGAGGGCAGAUGAUAUAUAGGAAGUUUUGGUUUAUAAACUUAGGUUGAUGGAGGAUACUGUGAGGCUGCUAGAUAUGUGGUAGACAAAUACUAGUUUUUAUAUGAUUUGCUGAUUAGGCAAUAUAUUUUGUGAGUACCAAACUGAGACAAUGAUGAAAACACUGUUUUGGUAAAUUGAGUUUCUAAAACACGGCUAUUUGGGAUGUGGUUGGUUGCUGGGGAUUAUACCACUACUUUGUUUUCUAUGUGGAAGAUAAAUGUUACUAAUAGAGUCUUUUUGGGUAUGUGAUUUCUGUCAGUAAUGUUGGAAAUAUCUUUUCAUUGAAAUGUUAAAGUUAACAGUUGUUUGAUCAGAUACAGCAGAGUCAGCUUGUUCAUGAAUUAGGCUUGAUUUUUGAGGCCUUUUAUCCAUUUUUAUGUUCUUGAGGUUUUUAAUUAGACAUUCUUUGUUAAAGUGUAGAAAUCACUGCCAUUCAUAUUUUUAAAUAGUAAACUUGUAUGAUUUUUCUUAUUCUAGUCUAAUUUUGAGUUUUAAAAUGUCAGGACAGAGCAAGGACACAUUUGACUGUCUGUAUAGCAGAUAAGCUCUUUUAUAACAACUUCUUAGGUAUUUAUGACUAAACACCUUUGCCAUGCAUGCAUGCUCACACACACACACACACACACACACACACACACACCAGAAUUAAUAAUACUUAUAUUAUUAACAAAUAGAAGUGUUACAUGACCUCCAUGUGUUUUCACCUAGUGUGUAUGGAGUGGUAAUAUUUAGUUGUGCAUGUGAUCAGAUUUUUGUUUUUAUACUAUAUAACUGUAGAUGUACAGAAAUUUCUGUCAUAGUUUUGAACAUAAGUUUACUUAAGAUUAAUAGCAUGUAAACUUUUUUACGCUUGUAGAAAUGAAAUGGUACACUAAGACUCACUAUUGUUGAGGGUGAUUUUAGACUGCUGUGCAUACAGUUACAUUAUAAACACAUUAUUUCUCAGUAUAGACAUUUCUGAUAUACAUAGAAUUUUACUUCUAUUUUGGGGACAUGGGUAUAACUUAUUUUUCCACAUGUGCUGAGGUUCAUGAUGCAAUUCAUUUUUCUAAACAUUUUAUGAUAUCUCUACACAUUUCUGUGUUCACUUGUUACAUGGCAAUAACCAAGAAACUUCUGCAAAUAAUGAGUAAGAGAAAUACUUAGUUUUAAACAUCUAGUAUUUCUAGAUAUAUUGAGAGUCUCAAAAAGUAUAAUUUUGUAAAUAUUUUAUUGUAAAUGUGUUAGUACCAUUGUCUUUUAAAAUUAACAUGGCAAUGAAAUUCAUUGAUAGGCUCUUGGAGCUAUGAAAAUUUAUCAUAUAUUGGUUUGGUUUUUAAGAGGAAACAUUUACAAGAUUAUACAUUUACUUUGUUAACAUAUAGAAGACUUUGCCAUUAUAUUAAGUGUAUAUAUCUAAAAAGCUUACACCAUGUAAUUCAUUUGGUGUUUCUGGGUGUACCAAGAGUCCCGAUAUGUUUCUUUUAUAUUGUUAUUUUAAUUAAGACUUUUUUUGAGAGCAGUUUCAGGUUCACAGCAAAGUUGAGGGGAAGGUACAGAGAUUUCCCAUAUAUCCCCCGCCCCAACACAUACAUGAUCCACCCCUAUUAUCAGCAUCCCUCAUCAGAGUGUACAUUUGUUACAAUUGAUGACCUGUGUUGACUUACCACAUCAUAAGUCACCCAGUGUCCAUAGUUGACACUAUGGUUAAAUGUUGUAACUGUUGGUUAUUCAUCCCUCCUCUUAUAUUUCUUUCUUUUUUUUAAACAUUCAAGUUAAAUGAUUUUGUUAAAGAGAUUUACACUACCUCUUGGAACUACACACAGUUCUGUAUGUGUUCCCUUCGUUGCAUGACAAUAUUCAAGACAACUUUGUAAAUAGGCAGAGACAAGCUUUUAAAAUAACAUCUAGUCUUUCUAGAUGCAUAGAGUCUCACAAAGUAUAAUUUUGUAAAUAACUCAUUGUAAAAUUUCAUGGUUUCUUUGUUUUCUUAAAAUGUUAGCAAUGAAAUUCAUAUAGAUGUAGAUUCCUUGAGUUAAACAUAAUUGGGAUCCUGAUUAUUGAGUUGCUACUGGAAAGCAAAAGAUAAAAGGUAUUUUUUUCACUUUUGCAUUCUCCUCUAAAAUAAAAUUUUACAUUUUAAUCAUUGUUUAGUGCUUGGAUAAUUAUACAUUAAAAAAACUAGAAGUCAUAGUUUGUAGUUGUAUUGCUGAUAGGGCAUUAUAUAUUUAAAUCAUAAGAAAUGCAUUCUGUAAGACUGUAUUCUCUCUUUGAAUUACAUAUUUGUGUAUUUAGUUGGACUGCAUGGCAAUAUUCAAGACAACUUUGUAAAUAACAGUAAAUACAUCAUUUAAAGUCUAGUUUUUCUAGAUGCAUGGGAUUUCAUGAAGUAUAAAUUUGUAAAUCUCAUUGUAAAAUAUCUUAAAUGGGCUUCUAGGAAUGUUUUGGUAGUGAAAUAGGUAAUUAAUAGUUGGCUUUUUUUAGGGCUUUGUGACAUUUUGUUGUUUAUUCUCAGUGGGUUUUGGGGAUGAAGUGUACACAUUGUUGCCAUAUCUUCAGAUCAUUAGAUCUCAUGUGUAAGAAAAGAUUAGAUUGUAUACUUUUAACAGAGGAAAAUGCUCCCGGGAUUUAUUUUUAUCUCUAGGAAGAAGAAGGGAAAAGAUACAAGAAGGGAGUUGUCACUUUGAAUCAUAGAUAUAUUCAUAGUUAUGUAACAUGGCUAAAGUAAUUAUUACUCUGCUAUCUAUAUGAACCUAGUUGCAGAUGUAUGUAUUCAUUUACAUGCAUACUAUAAACAUAUACACACAUACAUAUGUGAAAUUAGUCUUAGAGGUAUAGAUAGGAUGCUCUUUCUCAUUUAUUAGCUUAUUGCUUGACCUUCUAUUUUUGAUUUUGAAAAUUAUGGAAAUAAUAUUUCGAUUGUAAGCCUAAACAUACAGAAGCCUGCUUCAUGUUCUAAGUGAAUGUUAAUUCUUAUAUAAAGUGAUUAAGCAGCUCCAUGUCUUGUGUUUUUAUGUUUCCACAUAUAUAUAUAUAUAUGAUAACAAAUUUCUGUGCUUAUGAAUACUUUUCUGAGAGAUUUUUAAAACUUUCUGGUGAAUAGUUAAUUUCUAUGAUAUAAUCAGAAACAAAUGCCAGAAUUAUAUUUCAGCUGCCUAUGGUAUAAACUACAAAAAUUUCUUAGGAUCCUAUCCAGCAUCGAUUGAAGUAUAAAUCAGUUUAUCUUUUUGAACAGCAGUGGGGUCAUGACAAUCAAAUUGUGUGUGUAAAACUUUUAAAAUGAGGUAGCUUGCUGAUGAGAUUUUAUCUGUUCCUGUUUUUAGAUUCAUAAAAAAGUAUGUUAUAGAUUGAGUUUAACAAAUAACUUGAAUGUAUGAAAUGCAUAUCAGUAAAAAGAAAGAUUGUAAUGAUAGCUUAUUCAUCAUAUGAAUAUUCAAAUGCUGAAAAAGUAUUAUGUAUGGUAUUUAAAGAUGUUUUAAGUUGAUUUUUAAAAUUAUGUCAUUUUUGAAGAAAUAUCUCAUUUUGAAUGAAUAACUCAUGUUUACAGAGGUGUGUCCACAUGCCUCUUGUUUUUCUAACUGAAAUAUUAAUGGUUACUGUUUCUGGGGGAAGAGAUGAUACUGAGAUGAUAAUAGAGUUAAGUAAUGCUUACUCACCAGUGUUAUAGUAGUGAUAAUGAUGAUUGUUUUAGCAUUCUUCUUGAAAUUUUAUACAUGUGUAAGUUAAGUACUGAAACAUACUGUUUAAAUAUUUUAUUUGUAUAUUGCUAGAUGACAAUCUAAAAUGAAUGUAUCAAUUAUUGAAUAGGAAGUUGUCUGGAAAAACAUGGCAGAGUUUUAAUAUUACUGUACAAAUGAGAGGUGAAGAGAGGGUACUGCUGCUACUUUCUGCCUUUGGAAUUUUGGAGAUUUCAAAAGCAGCAUAUAAACUACAGAGGGAAUUUAAAAGAUACCACCAAUUUGUGCCUGUCUGCAUCCCCUGCCUGUCAGCAUCUUGGGAGUGUUGGGAUGCUGUAUCCAGCUUUAUUCCCAGUGGCUGUUGUGGAUAGUUUUUGAGUGACUCUGAAGAGCAUAUGAUUGAGAGACGAGUGCAGCAGAGAGGUUGCACAUUGAAACAGUACUGGAUUGCCCAGUGAAAGAAGAAGGGCGAACAUGGGAUUUGAGGUGAACAUGGAAGACAUACUUGUAGAUAAUCUGAGGAUACCUGAGAUUAUCAGAGACAUUCUUCUUCCUAUGGAGUUCCUUAAAUUACAAGUCUCAACUGUAAACCACAGGUGUGAAGAUUCUUGAUCAAGAAGUGCUGUUUCAGGAGAAGGUUUUUGCUAGACUCAGAAAAUAGCACUGGAGAUGACAGUUCCAAGAGGAAAUACUUUUUGCCAUCUUUGUUUUUAAUCCCAGGAAUCUCAGCAGCAGGAUUCCUCAUUCCAGGUGUUCUUCACGCCCAUCUGGUCCCAGGAGAACCCCUUGGCGAUAAUGAU